rnacentral:rRNA from 1 species
AGGGUGAGAAUCCCGUAUAUGGCAUGGACUACCGUUGCUCUGUGAUACACUCUCAACGAGUCGAGUUGUUUGGGAAUGCAGCUCUAAAUGGGUGGUAAAUGCCAUCUAAAGCUAAAUACUGGCGAGAGACCGAUAGCGAACAAGUACCGUGAGGGAAAGAUGAAAAGCACUUUGGAAAGAGAGUGAAACAGUACGUGAAAUUGUUGAAAGGGAAACGCUUGAAGUCAGGCGCACCCUCGGGGACUCAGCCUUGCUUCUGCAUGGUUUACUUCGCCUUGGGUGGGUCAACGUCAGUGUUGGUCAGAGGGGAAAGACUUGGGGAAGGUAGCAGGAUUUAUUCUGUGUUAUAGCCUCUUGUUGUAUACUUUGACUGGAACUGAGGACCGCAGCGCGCCUUUACGGCCGGGGCUUGCCCACGUACGCGCUUAGGAUGUUGGCAAAAUGGCUUUAAGCGACCCGUCUUGAAACACGGACCAAGGAGUCUAACAUGUGCGCGAGUGUUUGGGUGUAAAACUCAGACGCGAAAUGAAAGUGAAAGGUUGGGAACAUGUAAUGUGUGCACCGACGCCCGGAGCUGAGCUUUUGUGACGCAUCUGCGGUAGAGCGCAUAUGUUGGGACCCGAAAGAUGGUGAACUAUGCCUGAAUAGGGUGAAGCCAGAGGAAACUCUGGUGGAGGCUCGUAGCGAUUCUGACGUGCAAAUCGAUCGUCAAAUUUGGGUAUAGGGGCGAAAGACUAAUCGAACCAUCUAG